AGCAGACGCCCUUAUCCAGGGCGACUUACAAUCGCAAGCAAAUACAAAUACAUUCAAGUGUUACAAUAUAAGUCAUACAAUAAGAACAAGAAAUACAAUAAUUCUCAAGUGUGACAAAUCACAAUUCAAUAAUACAGCAGAUAUGUGCCCUGUGAGCACAUUUAGUGCUCACAGGGCUCAAAUCACCACACUGUGGACAGGUAUCUUGUGCAUAAUUUCGAUUACAGUUAAUCCUGGCUCACGGUGCAUUUGGGUAUUCAGAAGAAACAGACCACAACAACACAGAUGUAAAUGUUUUGUGAAUCUGUUGUGGCUGAAACUUUACUGGUGUACUGUUUAAAUAUUUGCAGUUCACUCUUAAACGUAUACUAAAUGCAUUUUAAAGCGACUCUUCAUAUCAAAUAUAUAUUUCAAUGUGUUUCCUCAUCCGUGCAUUCCCAGUAUUCCUUGGUUACACUCGAAAAGAGAAUACAUUUUAAAAUGUACUGGCUAUUUAGUAGAUGGCACGUCAGCAUUGGUAUGCAUCCAUAUUGAAGAACAGUUUCAAUUCUACAAGAAAAAAAGGAAGAAAAUCUCAGUUGCAGGCAGUGACAGCAGCCAUACGGAAUAUAGCUUGUCAUCACUGAGUUGUCAUGUCAGUAAAUAAUGAUGCAGUGAUGGCUAGUCACAGAAACUACAUAUUUUCAGAAAUGUGAAUUAUCACAGGGAACUCCAUAUAAUACAACAAUGGGUACAUUUCAUGGAAAUCAUAACCGUGAAAAAAAUACAGCUUUACUCAUCUUUUUACUGACUCACUAAGCACACCCAUUUAUGUCCACAUCCGAAUAGAUUUCACACGUUAGAGUAAAUGUUACAUGAUGUACAGAAAACAUUGAAAAUAAAAUUAGAUAAGCAACAAAGAGUUAGAACAACAUUAGAGUAAAUUUAAAGCUGCAUUUGUGUACCUCUACCAAUGUGUUCUUUGAAGUGACAGUCUGGUGUAAUAGAAAUUCAUAUAUAAAAUCCCACUUUAGCUGCAAAUCCAAUUACUGUAACCAUUCUUUUUUACCAUAUAGACACAAUUUAACUUUUGCGCAGUAACAGUAACAAAACUGCACUUAACUGACCCUAUACUUUUAAUAAAAUACCUACUUGUGCUGUGACUCAAUUAUAUAUUUUGGAAGUGUCUGUACAGUGAAUUGGAUUACCUAAUUUCUUACAGUGUGUUCCUCCUCUUAUGGUGGCUUCCAGCAUAGAUGAGAUGACCCUGAAACUAGAGGGAGUUUGUGCUGCCAACUUGCCUACCACCAUAGGAGUAGUUGCAGGAACUCUAGUUCAAAAUGUUCUCAAGUAUCUUUUAGGUUUUGGUACAGCAAGUUAUUUGGGUUACAGUGCAAUGCAGGAUUUCUUCCCCACAGUGGUCAUAAAGCCCAACACCCAGUGUGAUGACAGACACUGCAGAAAACAGCAAAAGGAAUACAAAGUGGAAGCUGCUUGUGGUGGUGAAACGGUUCCAAAGUCACAGCAGAGUCUCGAAGAACUUAUGGCACAGAUGAGUAAAAUGUAGACAUUCAAAUGAAGAAAAUGCAUUGGUUCUUAAAGCAGCAGCAUUUUUUUAUUAUUAAUAAAUACUGUAUCAGUAACGCUUACUUAAAAGGCAUUCUGUUGUCACUUUGGUAAUGGAGGCUGUUCGUAAGUCUGAAAUGAAUAAAUGAACAUUAAUAAAUAUGUGCCCCUGCCAUCUACAACCUCAAUCUGGCAAAUAAUACAAGACUUCAGCACCAUACGAAAAUACUUCUUAUUAACCAUAAUCAUUAUUAUGGUUGUAAAGUCUUUAAACUGGUACUAUAAAUGGAAAUAAAUUCAAGUUAACAUUGGGGGUGUUUCCAUGUGUGUUCUAAUUUUUCUCGAGACAUUGUGCAUUUCGGGUUUCCAUUGGUUAUUUUACUUGAAGACCCUCUUUUCACCGUACAUCAUGCAAGUUAAAGUUCUUGUGCAGUUUUCGCAGACAGCUCGGGAAAAUGUGGUUUCCAUGCACAGAGAACAUAUACACAAGAGAAUCUCACCUGGAUAUCUAUGGUUGUCAGGUGACUUCUUGUUUGAGUGAAACUCUAAAGCACAGUGUUAAGCUCAUGUAAUAAAGCUGUGAUUUGUAAAUGCCUCAAGUGUGGUUGUUUAACAAUGUGUUUUACUGCUCUUGCCCAAAUUGUUUUUCAAAUGUCCAUUGGUGGGCUGGCAUGUCGUUGGUAGUGAAUAAUAUUUAAACUAAUUUAUCACGACUUAUUAAUUAAAGAAAAAAUAAAUUAGCCCGAGGUAUAUAAUGAAACUGUCCAACCCAGCUCUGCAGAUCACCAUGGCUGAAAACUGGCAGAUACAAGGUUAUAGAAAUCUGUGCGAGACACCUUCCACGCAUGCUCCCAAGGCUGUCUGGAUUGGCAGCAGUGGACGUUUUCAUGUGAAAUGCGGGUUUCCAUGUGAAAAUGGGUGUGUUUUAUGAGUAGGGGUCUACUUAAAUCGCGGUAAAUUUACAUAUUUUCCGUGGGUAGGCUAUGGAAUAAAAUUAGGAUUUCGCAGACCUGUUUAAACAUUAAAUGCACCUAAGUAGACAAUAAUUCAGAGCACUAUAAAAAGCCUAAAAAUAGUGGUACUUGCUUCCUUACUAAAACAGAGUGCUGUCAUUUGUUGAAGGCAAGCAUGCAACAUCCCCCAGCAGUUGCUGCCGACAUUCUGUCUCGUGUGGACUUGCCCAUACAAUGAGACUGUACGUUCUGCAUCCACUGAAUUGGUUGGGCGUGUAAAGCAAUGCUUUGCCAAGUUAUACAGAUGUGGAAAUCGAUUAGAAACAAUCCCAAAACUCAGUUACCUAAGGGCAUCUGGCACACUUUUAAUAAAGGCAAUAUAUCCAGCACGUUCUUUGUCAUGCUAUUUGUCCCAUCCAAUAAUUUAUUUUAUUAGUACCGAGUCAAAACAAAGAAAACGUGCCUAUUCGGGUCUAAAAUUUUAACUGCUUUUAAAAAGUAAGCAGCAGGUUGUUUGAAGCGAGGUGGCUGUGCUAGAUCGUACCUGUAGUACUGAUUUAACUUGGCUACAACCGACAGGAAUACUUUUUGUCUGCGCUGACUUUCAAGUUUGUUUUCUGAAAGCAGUUUAUUUUACGUUCUGUUCAGCAGCCUCUGUAGUAGCCUUUCAUUUAAUGUGUGAUUCAGACACAUUACAAGAUGUGCAAAACAAUUACAUCCAUCUGCAUGUACAGUUUCUUUGGGAAAUAUAUUGACACGAUCAUCAGCCAAAAUGUACUUUGCUUUUUUUUGCUUUGUUGUCCAUGUCUGGUAUUUUACCUCCAAUGCUGAAAACUAGAUUUUAGCAACCUAAAUCAAAAAAAUGCAGCACUGACUUUGUCCCACCCCCCUCUGUACAGUACAGGUCACAGAAAUGCCAGUACAGAUGCACUGAUAGGCUGAUUAAAAUAUUGUUGUCAUUUGAACAGUAACCAAGAACGUUAACCGCUUUGGAGUAUUUUAUUUGUAAAUGUUAUUUGUCUAAGGAUGUUUUUUAUUUUAUUAUUUUUUGCCUAAGUGCAAUGCACACAGAACAGCGAACGAAUAAAAAAGCACCUAUCUACAGAAGGAAGAUACGUAGUUUGCGUCGCUUGCGUUGUGUAGUACUUCACUUAAACAAGGUUUCUUUUUUUUUCUCUCUCCGUACUUGUCCGGUAUGCAUUGGCCCCUAAAAGAGGUGACCCCUCAAUUUCCCCCAUUUCCUCGAAAUCGCGAUUUAGGUAGACCUCUACUCAUGAGUAAAUGAGAUUGACCCUAUCCCUCUCUGUGGCCGUUAUUCUCUGCCACAAUCCUGAUUCCCUUGAGUUGUUCUCCCAAACGUGCACGCGCAUCGCCAUUCACGUGUAAAUAACCACACAUGGAAACUCCCCCAUUGACACUAACUGUAGCAAAAACACAGUACUUGCUUUGAAAUCAACCUCACCUUUGUCUGGAUACCUUUGUUGAUAAAGUAAGUUUGCCUUCAUGUCCAGCAUGACACAUAGGAGUGCCUAUCUGGUUGCAUUGCACAGGUUGUUGUGUCUUAGCUGGAAAUAUGCAAAUAAGUGGGGUGUUCAGUAGGCAGUAAGUUUGGUGUUCGUUUUCUGCUGUAUUUAAAUUUGGUCACAUAUUGCACAGGUUACAGUAAAAGUCUGAAUCUGGUUGGUCAAUCUUAAGUUUUACUGGUAAAUGUCAAUGUUUAGCAAAUAAGGUGGUAAAUGUCUGAAAUUAUGAAGAAAGAAAAAGCUUUUCGGACAUUUACCAGGUAAUCAUUACUUAUAAGCUUAUUGGUAAAUGCAGGUAUAUCAUCGGGUAAUGUACCGGUAUUUACUCCUGCAUAUAAAUUGUCAAUUAACAAAAUAAUCAUUAUUUCUGCAUACAUAUUUUCCAUUAACAAAAUAAUCAUUAACAAGCUUACAGUAAUGCACAAUUGAGCAAUUCAACAUGGUACUGAACAAUAUUGUGAUCGACUUAUGUGUAACAACCAACAUUCUGGUAAAUUUGCAUAUAAAUCAAUUUACAAUGGUGUUGAAGGAUAUUGUAUUCCAAAUACGUAGUAGUUUGAUGAAAAAUAACACAUUCUGUUAAAUGCAAAUUAAAUAAUUUAGGACAUUUGUUUUUUCAACAGAAAAUCACACUUUUGUUAGGACACAAAACAUGACAAAUACAGGCACUAAAUAGAUAUAUUUACUUGCCGCAGCAUGGUAGACUCUUGUGUCACAGGACUCCUGAAGCCUUACAAUUCGUGAAAGCGAGACAUUUGGUCUUGAGAUUUACCGGUAAAU